rnacentral:rRNA from 1 species
AGCGAACGCUGGCGGCAGGCUUAACACAUGCAAGUCGAACGGGCAUCUUCGGAUGUCAGUGGCAGACGGGUGAGUAACACGUGGGAACGUACCCUUCGGUUCGGAAUAACUCAGGGAAACUUGAGCUAAUACCGGAUACGCCCUUUUGGGGAAAGGUUUACUGCCGAAGGAUCGGCCCGCGUCUGAUUAGCUUGUUGGUGGGGUAACGGCCUACCAAGGCGACGAUCAGUAGCUGGUCUGAGAGGAUGAUCAGCCACACUGGGACUGAGACACGGCCCAGACUCGUACGGGAGGCAGCAGUGGGGAAUAUUGGACAAUGGGCGCAAGCCUGAUCCAGCCAUGCCGGGUGAGUGAUGAAGGCCUUAGGGUUGUAAAGCUCUUUUGUCCGGGACGAUAAUGACGGUACCGGAAGAAUAAGCCCCGGCUAACUUCGU